AUUGAACGCUGGCGGCAGGCCUAACACAUGCAAGUCGAGCGGAUGAAGCUAGCUUGCUCCUGGAAUCAGCGGCGGACGGGUGAGUAAUGCCUAGGAAUCUGCCUGGUAGUGUGGGAUAACGUCCGGAAACGGGCGCUGAUACCGCAUACGACCUGCGGGAGGAAGUGGGGGAUCUUCGGACCUCACGCUAUCAGAUGAGCGUAGGUCGGAUUAGCUAGUUGGUGGGGUAAUGGCCUACCAAGGCGACGAUCGGUAACCGGCCUGAGAGGAUGGUCGGCCACAUUGGGACUGGGAUACGGCCCAGACGCCGACGGGAGGCAGGAGUGGGGAAUAUUGCACAAUGGGCGGAAGCCUGAUGCAGCGACGCCGCGUGGGGGAUGACGGCCUUCGGGUUGUAAACUCCUUUCGACCGCGAGGAAGCCACCUGGUUGGAAGGGUGGUGACGGUAGUGGUAGAAGAAGCACCGGCUAACUACGUG
rnacentral:rRNA from 1 species